rnacentral:hammerhead_ribozyme from 1 species
UGUUGGUUGAUGAGUCCCAAAUAGGACGAAACGCGCGUUAUCCUAGU